UUGGAGGUUAAGAAGGUGAGGCCAGUUAAGAUUGUGUGGCUCUCACUGAUACCCACCUCCGAGAGAAAAGCAGCUGAGAGAACAACUUGUGCCAGAAGAUAGGCCCAGGUUACAUCUCAGCCAACAAAA
rnacentral:snoRNA from 1 species